rnacentral:rRNA from 1 species
GACGAACGCUGGCGGCGUGCCUAAUACAUGCAAGUCGAGCGGACAGAAGGGAGCUUGCUCCCGGAAGUUAGCGGCGGACGGGUGAGUAACACGUGGGCAACCUACCCUGUAGAUCGGGAUAACAUCGAGAAAUCGGUGCUAAUACCGGAUAAUCAUUUGAAGGGCAUGCUUCGAAUGUAAAAGAUUGCUACGGCUAUCUCUACGGGAUGGGCUCGCGGCGCAUUCGCUGGUUGGUAAGGUAAUGGCUUACGAAGGCAACGAUGCAUAGCCGACCUGAGAGGGUGAUCGGCAACACUGGGACUGAGACACGGCCCAGACUCCUACGGGAGGCAGCAGUAGGGAAUCUUCCGCAAUGGACGAAAGUCUGACGGAGCAACGCCGCGUGAGUGAUGAAGGUUUUCGGAUCGUAAAGCUCUGUUGUUAGGGAAGAACAAGUGCCGUUUGAAUAAGGCGGCACCUUGACGGUACCUAACCAGAAAGCCACGGCUAACUACGUGCCAGCCGCCGCGGUAAAAC